GAUGAACGCUGGCGGCGUGCCUAAUACAUGCAAGUCGAGCGAACGGACGAGAAGCUUGCUUCUCUGAUGUUAGCGGCGGACGGGUGAGUAACACGUGGAUAACCUACCUAUAAGACUGGGAUAACUUCGGGAAACCGGAGCUAAUACCGGAUGAUAUUUUGAACCGCAUGGGUCAAAAGUGAAAGACGGUCUUGCUGUCACUGAUAGAUGGAUCCGAGCUGCAUUAGCUAGUUGGUAAGGUAACGGCUUACCAAGGCAACGAUGCAUAGCCGACCUGAGAGGGUGAUCGGCGCUACUGGAACUGAGACACGGGCCAGACUCCUACGGGAGGCAGCAGUAGGGAAUCUUCCGCAAUGGGCGAAAGCCUGAUGGAGCAACGGCGCGUGAGUGAUGAAGGUCUUCGGAUCGUAAAACUCUGUUAUUAGGGAAGAACAUAUGUGUAAGUAACUGUGCACAUCUUGACGGUACCUAAGCAGAAAGCAACGGCUAACUACGUG
rnacentral:rRNA from 1 species